ACAACGGUAUAUCCGUGCGCUUGCGGAUCUUUCUGUAAACGUUAAGACAUACCAACACCAGCAUUUUUGGCGGCGUUUCUAGGAACUAACCACUCCUAGUGGCGACGCUAAGAAAUGCCAACACACACCAGCAUUUUUGGCGGCGUUUCUAGGAACUAACCACUCAUAGUGGCGACGCUAAGAAAUGCCAACACCGGCGCCCACCCGUGGCCUCCCCGCCGGCUCCCCCGGCCCCUUGCCUCGCUGCUCACCACUCUCGGCGCGACCGACUCUACCACCCCAAGCCGCGCCGCCACCCCACCCCUAGGUGAUCAACCAAUGGCACAUUUCAACAAUGAAAACUUCACACUCUUUGAGGAAGAAGAGUUCAACUUGCAUUUUCAGGUUUUUGCAAGCCUCUUAAUAAUUACCAAGUUUGCUCCAUGUCUGCAUACUCCACAAGAAGUCCCCGUGCUGUCAAUCGCAGCGAGCUACAGCAAGUGAUAUUGAACCAUACUGGGAUAGAGCUUCCGCUAGAGAAUAUCUUACAUUUUCUCAAUGAUUAUGUUGUGCUAACCCGAUUCAUACGACGAAGCCAGUCGCAUCUUGAGUCUAUCAUACAUCCAAGUUGAGAGCCAUGUCCUUGCUAUCGUAGGAUGGACACCCGAUUAUGAUUCCACUACAUUAUUUUUGGAUGACUCUAUACCACUAGAAUCCCAUAUACCAGCUAGAUGACAACGGGCACAAGGAAAUCACGUAGCACUCAGUCUUCUCAUAUCCGGAAUGCCACCACAACUUUUUGUGCAGUGUCGCAUGGUAUUACCUAGAAUCUUCGCGAACAUAUGUCACCUUCGUGACGUCCAGAUGAGGAGAACUGAUUUCUCAAUUAGGGCGAACACAUUCGCUCUAAGGGACGCUAUACCUAGUGUUGUAUUUAUAGGCGUCCGCAGAGUUAAUGCAGGGGGUGCCUACUUGAGCAUGUGGCCACUUUGGAUUCGUGCUGAUGUUCUUCCACCGGGCGACCCACAGGCAAUCCAGGUCUGCGCGAACACGAACGGGAACUACGGUUACAAAAGAACCUUGCUCCAUUAAUGUUACAUUAUUCCCUCUAAUAAUUGUCACUCUUCUUGCAGAAUCGAGCAACUUUCCACUCCGAUACACACUGUACCCACAACCCCAAUGAGACCAGGGUGCGGGGACUUCUAGACAAGGAGGUCUGAUUGAAGAAGAAGAAGAUUCGCCUCCUGAAGACGAACGGGGAACUGGUUUCACCAUUGUACCGGAGACACCAUCGAGCACACCAUCGGAUAACACCCAACCAAUGGACAUUGCGGAGGGCGACCUGGAAGAAUCCAACCACGACGAAGAUAUGUCCCAAACAUUACUAUGAAUAAUAAUUCCAAAGUUGAGAAGACUCUGGAAGCGGCAAGCACUCAAGAAAGUUGUGCCUGAUGCCACGACUACGUGCCCAUCCUCAGUCUUACCCACGGAGUCUGGACGCGCAACGCCGGUGUACUAGUCUGUUCAGCCCACCAGAGCAACGCCGUCACCGCCGUGAGAUCCUCAUUGCACUAUGUGUGCUUGUAUCAUUUCGCCAUGUUCUGUAUGGAUUUGUGAUUUAGACUAAUAGCUAGUUAUAUGGAUUGCAUGUGAUGUUUAUUGUAAUGUAUGGACUUCUAUCAUUUGCCGUGCAUUCUGUAUGGACACGUAAUUUUCGGAUUA